rnacentral:misc_RNA from 1 species
GAAAUGCGAUAAGUAGUGUGAAUUGCAGAAUUCAGUGAAUCAUCGAAUCUUUGAACGCACAUUGCGCCCUUUGGUAUUCCAUAGGGCAUGCCUGUUCGAGCGUCGUCUCAAACCUUCAAGCCUAGCUUGGUGUUGGGUGACUGUCCCGCCUCGCCGCGCGGACUCGCCUCAAAGUCAUUGGCAGCAGACUCGGUAGCUAAUUGCGCAGCACAUCGCGCCAGAGGCUCCGGGCCCGCUCUCCACGAGCACAGUCUCAUCAGUUUGACCUCGGAUCAGGUAGGGAUACCCGCUGAACUUAA